UGUAGCUCAGUGGUAGAGUGCUUGCCUAGCAAGUGUGAUGUUCUGGGUUUAAUCCCCAGCA
rfam:Heterocephalus glaber contig202212, whole genome shotgun sequence.